rnacentral:rRNA from 1 species
GACGAACGCUGGCGGCGUGCCUAAUACAUGCAAGUCGAGCGGACAGAAGGGAGCUUGCUCCCGGAAGUUAGCGGCGGACGGGUGAGUAACACGUGGGCAACCUACCCUGUAGAUCGGGAUAACAUCGAGAAAUCGGUGCUAAUACCGGAUAAUCAUUUGAAGUGCAUGCUUCGAAUGUAAAAGAUGGCUCCGGCUAUCACUACGGGAUGGGCCCGCGGCGCAUUAGCUGGUUGGUAAGGUAAUGGCAUACCAAGGCAACGAUGCGUAGCCGACCUGAGAGGGUGAGCGGCCACACUGGGACUGUGACACGGCCCAGACUCCUACGGGAGGCAGCAGUAGGGAAUCUUCCGCAACGGACGAAAGUCUGACGGAGCAACGCCGCGUGUGUGAUGAAGGUUUUCGGAUCGUAAAGCUCUGUUGUUAGGGAAGAACAAGUGCCGUUUGAAUAAGGCGGCACCUUGACGGUACCUAACCAGAAAGCCACGGCUAACUACGUGCCAGCCGCCGCCGUAAUAC